rnacentral:lncRNA from 10 species
GUGAGUCCAUAGAGUAAAGUGAAGGCAAGUUUAUUAAGAAAUUAAAGGAAUAAAAGAAUGCCUACUCCAUAGGCAGAGCAGUGGUAUGGGCUGCUUGAUUAAGUAUAAUAGUUAUUUCUUGAUUAUAUUCUUAUAGUUAUUCCUUGAUUAUAUGCUAAACAAAGGGUGGAUUAUUCAUGAGUUUUCUGGGAAAGGGGUGGGCAAUUUCUGGAACGGUUUUUCCCCUUUUUAGACCAUAUAGGGUAACUUCCUGCUGUUUCCAUGACAUUUGUAAACUGUCAUGGCACUGAUGGGAGUGUCUUUUAGCAUGCUAAUGCAUUAUGAUUACCAUAUAAUAAACGGUGAAGAAGGCCAGAGGUCACUUUUGUCACCAUCUUGGUUUUGGCUGGCUUCUUUACCACAUCCUGUUUGUUGACAAAAAGAGUCAAACUAUAGAAUAUUUGAAGAGGUUUAUUCUGAGCCAAAUAUGAGUGACCAUGGCCCAUAACACAGCCCUCAGGAGGUCCUGAGAACAUGUGCCCAAGGUGGUCAGGGUGCAGUUUGGCUUUAUACAUUUUAGGGAGAAAUGAGACUUCAAUCAAAUACAUUUAAGCAAUACAUUGCUUUGGUCCAGAAAGGUGGGACAACUCAAAGCAGGGGCUUCUAGCUUACAGAUAGAUUUAAAAUUUUUCUGGUUGACAAUUGGCUGAGUUUAUCUAAAGACCUAGGAUCAACAGAAAGGAAUGUUUGGGUUAAAAUAAAGGAUUGUGAAGACCAAAGUUCUUAUUUGCAGAGGAAGCCUUCAGGUAGAAGGCUUCAGAGAGAAUAGGUUGUAAAAUGUUUCUUAUCAGACUUAAAGUCUGUGUUGAUGUUAAUGCCAGGGAUGUAUAAUGAGGCAUGUCCUACCCUCACUUCCCAGGAUAGCCUGAAUCAGUCUUUCAGGUUGAAUUUCAAGAGUGCCCUGGCUGAAGAGGAAGUCCAUUUGGAUGGUUUGGGUGCCUUAGAAUUUUAUUUUUGGUCUAGACGUUUUAUCAGCAAGGUCUUUAUAAAAUGUAUCUUGUGCCAACCUCCUAUCUCAUCCUGUGACUUAGAGUGCCUAACUUCCUAGGAAUGCAGCCCAGUGGGUCUCAGUCUUAUUUUACCCAGCCCCUAUUCAAGAUGGGGUCACUCUGGUUCAAAUGCCUCUAACAAAACCAGAUGGCCUGGGAUGGCACCAGAGCUUCUUAACCCCUGACCAGAUACUGGAGGGAGAUAUGACCCCCAAACCAGCACAGACUGGAACAGAUGACCCCUUGUUACCUUUAGAUCAUUAACAUAUCAUUAUAAUGCUAAAUUUCCCACCCUUAUGUAAAAGGAAAAUAAAUCUCAGGACCCCAAAAUCACUAAGCCAAAGGGAAGACUCAAGUUGGGAACUGCAUCAGGCAAACCUUCCUCCCAUUCUUUUCUACAUACCUCUCUCACAAUUUGCCCACAAGGAAAUUCCUUGUGGACAAAGGACAGAUAGAACUCAAAGUCAUCCCUUUGCUCAUGUAAGACAAGUGCAUAUCUGAUUGCUUCUUUUGCCUUAUUGUUUUCACUAAGCCAGACUAAAGCAUAAGUGACUAUUCCUAUGAAGUGUGUAUUCAGUGAAAGGCUAAUCAAAAACUCAAAAGAAUAUAACCAUUUGUUUCUUAUCUACCUAUGACCUGGAAGCCCCCUCCGUGCUUUGAGUUGUCCCACUUUUCUAGACCAAACCAAUGUACAUCUUACAUGUAUUGAUUGAUGUCUCAUGUCUCCUUAAAACGCAUAAAACCAAGCUGUGCCUCAAUUGCCUUGGGCACAUGUCAUCAGGACCUCCUAAGGAUAUGUCACAGGCACGUCCUUAACCUUGACAAAGUAAACUUUCUAAAUUGACUGAGACUUGUCUCAGAUACUCUUGGUUUACACUUAUAGGAAAAUCACCACCAUUUUCUGAACAUAUGUCACAUGAAGAGGAGAGUUUAUUGUCUACGCCUGUGUCUAGGGUUCCUCCUUGCACAUGUUUGCAUACUUUCCCACCCCAUGGCUAACUCCUUAAAAUUCCCCAGUGUAUUAGUCUGUUCUUAUGCUGCUAAUAAAGACAUACCGGAGACUGGGCAAUUUAUAAAGGAGAGAGGUUUAAUUGACUCACAGUUCCACAUGGCUGGGGAGGCCUCACAAUUUUGGCAGAAGGGCCAAGUGCAGUGACUCACACCUGUAAUCCCAGAACUUUGGGAGGCUGAGACAGGCAGAUCACCGAAGUCAGGAGUUUGAGAUUAGCCUGGCCAACAUGGCGAAACCCCAUCUCUACUAAAAAUUAGCCAGGCGUGGUGGUGCACACCUGUAAUCCCAGCUCCUCAGGAGACUGAGAGAGGAGAAUGGCUUGAACCUGGGAGGCAGAGGUUGCAGUGAGCCAAGAUUGCAUUACUGUACUCCCACCUGGGUGACAGAGUGAGACUCUGUCUCAAAAAAAAAAAAAAAAAAGAAAAAAAGAAAAUCAUCCUGAAGGCAAAGACGAAGCUAAGGCAUGUCUUACUUGGUGGCAGGAAAGAGAGCAAGUGCAGCAGAACUCCUCUUUAUAAAACCAUCGGAUCUCAUGAAACUUAUUCACUAUCACAAGAACAACAUAGGAAAGACCCACCCCCAUAAUUUAAUUACCUCCCACUGGAUCCCUCCCACAACAUGUGGGAAUUAUGGGAGCUACAAUUCAAGAUGAGAUUUGGGUGGGGACACAGCCAAACCAUGUCACCCAGCUUCCCAUGUCUCAGGGAGAAGAUGCUCCUUCUACAUUCCUGGCCAGGAAUAAAAUCUGUUUGUCUUUUUUUCUGAUUGGGUGUUCCUUCUUUGCGACCAAUACAAAGUAGGAAACAAACUCAGUUUACUGGCAACAAGGGGGCUCAAACAACAGGCAGAUUGAUUAUCUACAAAUUGAACAGGCCCCGGAUGUAGUGAAUGCAGGCAAGGUUGGUUCAGUGGCUGUGUAAUGUCACAAGGACUGAGGUUGUGGGGGCCAAGAGAGAACUUUCCCCUUGGCCCUUUAAAGGUUGGCUGGAAAAUCGCUGACAUGAGGCAGAUUGGUUAAUAGGAAAAAAAGGUGUACAAGUGUAUUUAACGUGUAUACACAGGAGCCUUCGAAACGAAGACUCAACUUCCCAAUAAGGUAGAGAAGCUUAUGUGCCAACUUGAGGUUUCAGAAAGAAAGGGGCCUUGGAUUCUGAUAAAACAGGUUAUGGGAACAUGGAGAAGAGGAAGUCUAUUGAUGGGAAUAAAUGAUUAUUCAGGAGAAUGAUUGAAUGGGGAACAGAAAUUAAGUUGUAAAUAGUUCUCUUUGGAAAUUAAGUGAUCCUUGGAGAUAGUCAUCAUCUUGAAAAAGGGUCCAUUCAGGUGGUUACAUUUUGGUCUUACAGGGAGGGGAAGAAAACUGUUCUCCUUGAUAGGUCUGGAUCUUAGGCAGAUAAUGGAACUUCAGUUUCUUUGGAAGAAACGGUGGAAGGUCAGAGAGACCUUGAGUCUUGUUCUUCAGUUCAGCAUGUCGUAUUUUGGGGUACUGGUUUCUGAAAACCAACAGGUUCUUUCCAUCUUUCUGUCCUUCCAUCCUCCAUGUCCCAGCUCUGUCCUCAACCUGUUCCCUUUUUAGGGCUGCUGAUAGAGGUGUAGUGUGGUGGUUGUUAAAAGGAAAACUGUAGAGAAAUUUAACAAAGUUUAAUGGAGCAAAGAAUGAUUCAUGAAUUGGGCAGCCCCCUGAAACAGAAUAGGCUUAGGGCAACUCCAGGGUUGCCAUAUGGUCCAAUACUAUUUAUGGACAAAAAAAGUAAAGUGGCGUAUGGAAGAUGGAAGUGAGGUAAACAGAAACAAUCAGAUUGGUUACAGCUCAGAGUUGGUCUUAUUUGAACGUGGUUUGAACAGUUGGCUGCCUGUGAUCAGCCAAAUCUCAGCUGCUGUGAUUGGUUGAGACUUGGCGACUUGUUGUAAGAGUAGGUUGUGGUGUGUUUACACAUCCAGUUAGGUGACAGUUCACUAUGUAUUAAGAAACCUUUAGUCCCGACUGAAAAUAUCUAAAGAAGAAGCUGUAGACUAAAUUCAAUUUAACAAGACUAAAUCAUGGACUGGAGUUCAAAUCUCAGCUCUCUUGCUUAGAAGUCAUGCCUCAGUCUCCUCAUAUGCAAAGUAGAGGAAAAUGGAGGAAUUUAUCCCACUUGGUUGUGCUAAAAGAUAAACUGGUUUUAUUAAAAUAGUAAAGAGUUUAUUCGAACAGAGAGCAGUUCAUGAAUCAGGCGGCUCCAGAUUGCCAGCAGUCCACAGCUCCAACAAAGGAUCCUGAGGGGAGGAUUUUUAUAAGGUGCACGGAGAGGCAAGACAAAGAAAACAUCUGGCUGGUUUAAGUGCGGCAGUAGCCUAAUUUGAUUCAUUUCAGUGCACAGUUCCUAGUUAGAGUUUACUUGGCAGUUUCUGAUUAAACUUAAGUUUUGUUCUACUUCAACACUGAAUUGGGUUUUGGUUUACUUAUACAGGAACCCAGGGUGCUGGAGUUGCCUCAAUGUAAUGCCCUCCCAAUUAAUUAGCUGUUGCGAUCAUACAAGGAAUAAAUGCUGUCUGCCUUAUUUAUCAUUUUCUUGGCUGAAUCUGACUAUGCUAAUUCCAGACUUCAGACCCACAAUAUACAGUGAAGGAAGAAGAACCAUUCUUUCCAGUGUCUUUGUCUUUCUGUUAGCCUAGAGGGCGCAUGUAGAUUAAUUAGGAAACAUAUCCCCUUCCUUGAACCCCCACGCUGGAUGCUUUCUCACCUGAGGGUGACUUGUGUGCAUUAGACAACAAUGCCCAUUUGCUUUGUGUAAAGACAAAAGUGUUCUUUCUGGGUACCUGCCUCUCCACACUCCUCAUGGGCUGGUGAGCAGAAAUCAUAUGGGUCCACCCUAAAUUUCCUGGGCUGUGUGCUGUUGCUUCAAACCCUAUCUCAAAUGCCACUUAAUUUGCUUACACUGUAUCUUUAAAAUGGAAACUUUCAUCUUCCAUCAUAUCUUAUAAUUAUUUGUUUGUAUUUAAUUCCCCACAUCUGACAGUGAUCUCCACAGUGUCUUUUGCAAAUGUUCUUAAAUGUUUGUUCAUACUACUUAAUCUCUACGGAAUGGUACUGGAUCACUUUAACUUUAGGAGGUGGUGCCUUCUUAGACCUGAUAAAUCAAGUUUAGCUUAAAGCUGCCUCCUUACAUAUUUUAAGUUUGGUCUAAAGGUUUCUCCAUACAUUGUAAACUCUAACCUGACUGGAUGUGUAAAUAGACUGUAACCUACUCUUGUGCCACUCACUGAGCUUUGGUCAAUCACAGGUGCACAACUGUUCAAGUCAUGUUCAAAUAAGACAAACUGAGCUGUAACCAAUGGGCUGUUUUUGUACCUCAUUUUAGUUUUCUGUAAGUCACUUUCCUUCUAUCCAUAAAUCUUCCACCAUGUGGCUGUGCUGGAGUCUCUCUGAGCCUACUCUGGCUUGGAAGACUGCCUGAUUUGCUAAUCAUUCUUUGCUCAAAUUAAACUCUGUUAAAUUUAGUUAGUCCAGGGUUUUUUUUUUGUUUGUUUUUUUAAAAUCAAAUCUUCAGUGACUCUUUAUGGUGGUCAAUUAUGGCCAGGAUGGAUAGGAGACUACCAUGCAGAAAAGUAUGAGAGAGACUUGAAAACCAUGCAGUGAUCUUUAAAACCCUCUGAAUAUGUAUUUUCAAAUGCUGCUUUCAUAAGUCAUUAACCAUAAUUUAUUGAAUGUGUACUAUGUGUAUGGCAUUGUACUAGAUCCUUUAUAAACCAUAUAGAAUUUUUAUAGUAACCUUGAAAAGUAUGUGUUAUUAUAUCCACUGUACAUAUUGGGGGGACUGGAGGCUUAGAAAGUGGAAGUCGAGGCUUGCACACACUUAUUAUGAAAGGCCAGCUGGCAUGAUAGUGGUUCACCCUGAACAGCAGAUGGAACUGAUAACAGGCCCAUUAAAUUAUGGGCCAAAUAGUUUGCAACCUUAAGAAAUCCCUGUGAAAUGUUCAUAGAAUAUUAACUUCUUAUCUUAUCAAAGAAAAUUUUAACCCAUUGAAAUAUAAGAUUUGUGUUAGGGUCUGAAUGGCCAACCAUUUUUUUUUUUCUGUAUGUGUUUGAGAAUAAUGUGUUUUGCAAUUUUUACAUGCAGUAUUUUAUAUAAGCUUAUGGUACAGCUUGUUUAUUGUAUAAUUUAAAACUUCCUUGUCCUUACUAACUUUUGUCUGUUUAUUCUAUUGCUAAAAGUGGUAUAGUAAAUACACUACAAUAAUGCAUUUGUCAAUUUAUCUUUAGUUAUGUCACUUUCUGCUUCAUAUAUUUUGAGACCAUGUUAUUAGGUACAUAAAAUAUAAUAAUUAUAUUUUUUUCUGGCAAACUGAAGCUUAUUAUAAAUGACCCUCUUUGUUGCGAGUAAUGCCUUUUGCAUUUACAACUGAUGGAGACAGGACGCAGCCAAAAGUCCCUGGUGAAACCCCGCCUUCAAGCCUAAAACAGCCUGAAGGAUGAAAAACCAGACUUCUGGUGCCUGAUGAAGCCUGCCCUUUCCUGACUGAUUCUAAAUAAUGCCUACCUGCCAACUGGGAAGGCAGGGUGGAGCCUUCGGAAAUUCAUGACCUUCGCAGGGGAGAGGAGCUUGGCCUCUCCUAUUCCUGUGUGGUGACCUGGGAUUCAAACUGUGAGGCGGAAAACCUGCUAGCAGGAGUCUCGCUUUGCUGAGAGUUAUUUUUCUUUUCCUUUUUAUCCAAUAAAUUCCGUCUUCUCACGCUUCUAUGUGUCUGUGACCCUACUCUUUCCUGGUCGUGUGACAAGAGCCUGGUUUUAGCUGACCUAAGAAGAAAGUUCUGCAACAUUUUUGGUGUCCAGACGUGAGUCUUGAGGAAGGACAAGUACAGACAAUCACCAGGAACUAAGGAACAAGAAGCAUCCAACCCUGCAUCUGUGGGUUUCCUGAGGUGACUCUCAAUUGUCAUAGGGGUGAAGAGUGAGUGAGGAAACCCUUGGAGCACUUGUUUGCUUCACAGACAUCCUGACCUCCUUUCAACUGUAAAGACUUAGUCAGAGGACGGCGGCUCCCUCAGCCUCAUUCUGCAGUUCCAAUGACACUUUUUACAAAGGCUCUGCUCAAAUCUUGAAUAGGUCAAAAAGAGCAAGAGGAAAAUGUCAGAGAAUGGAGAAAGGCAAAUACAGAGAAGCAGUGUGAACAUCCACCCGGCGAGGUGACCUGAUGGUGCUGCUCCAUGUCAGAGACAGUAGUGUCUGGGAAGAGGGAGCCCUUUCCACAGGGUGGAGCAAAAGGCCUGGAGCUGACACCUGGCUCCUGGGCCCACUCGCCCACCACCUCGAGCAACUCCCUUCCUUAACGUCUGCCCGAGUGUUAAGGGCUGAGCACAUGACCUCACAGGAGGAUGUGAGGGGCAGCGGUAACAUGUGUCUAGCACUUUGUCCCUUAUAAGUCACUCACAAAUACUUAUAUCCUUAUUAUCUUCAUCCUUUUCUCUUGAGUUUUUCUCUAAUUCUUUAAGAAGGAAACACGUAGCCAGGAAGUGGAGAGCCUCUCACAUACUUGGGGAGUUUUCAUAUUUCCCCCAUCAGUUCCUUUUCUGGCCUGAGCUCAUGCUCCCUAAGAUCAGGGCUUGGGCUUUGUUUUAGUCUGUGUUGUUAUAAAAGAAUAUCCAACAGUGUGUAAUUUAUAAAGAAAAGAGGUUGACUUGGCUCAUGGUUCUGCAGGCUGUACAGGAACAAGCUUGGCUCCAGCAUCUGCUUGGCUUCUAGGGAGGCCUCAGGAAGCCUUUACUCAUGGGGGAAGGCAAAGGGGAGCAGGCAUUAUGUGAGAGGAAGGAAGAGAGAGGCAGGGGAGGUGCCAGGCCCUUUUAAACAAUCAGCGCCCAUGGGAAAUAACAGAGCCAGAACUCACUCAUUAACUUCAGAAUGGCACCAAGCCAGUCAUAAGGAUCCACCUCCAUGACCCAGACACCUGCCACCAGGCCACGCCCAGUAUCAGGGAUCACAUUUUAACGUGAGACUCGGAGGGGACAAACAUCCAAAUCACAUCUGGCCCCAUAACCUUUGGAGACCUCAGCUCUGGCGCUAGGGUGGUAGGUCCCCUAAGGGUUCGUGCUCUCUGAAGGAAUUGGGUUACAUUACCUGGGAGAGCUUUCUGGAGGAAGUGAGCUUUGCUUCUCACAGGUUUCUAUAAGGAGAAGGAUGGGCUGUUGGAAAGGGAGUGAGUGUGUGUCCAAGUGAGGGAAAGUGAGGUUCAGCAUCUUGGUGCUCUUGGCUCAGCUUCCCUUUCUAUGCCAUGCACAGUGCCUCCAGGAUGCCAGGGGGUGCCAUCCCUGACCUGUUCUGGGGUGGGUGUGCAAGAUGCGAAAUGGCUAAUUUCAGUUCACUGGUAACUCUAACAUUUGGAUAAUAAUUGGCCAUAGCAUUAGCUUUGGUUAUACAUCUCCAAAUGUGUUAUUACAUUAUAUAUAUAUAUAUAUAUAUAUAUAUAUAUAUAUAUAUAUGCACACACACACGUAUACAUAUAUACACACAUCUACACUGUAUUGAUAUGUUGAUAUAUUGAUGUUAUGAAUUAUUUUAAAGAGUAUUCUAUUGAUGUAGAGGAUAAUAUGAAAUUCAAUAUUUUCUGGCACUCUUUUUAAAUGAUACUUAGGCCAUCUGAUGAAAACAGAGCUCAGUAAAGAUUUCUUAUUGAUAAAUCAACAUUACAAAUGAAGACUAGUUUCAUUGCCAUGAUCAGUAAAUUAAGGGUCAUAAAUUAACUGUUGAGUUAUUUUCUUUGCACUAUUAAGCCUUCCACUCAAUCUUUCUACAGUCUUUCUUAUUUAGCAAACGGUGUUACUUGAUAGAAACCUCUGCUGUGAUUUUGUUUUUUGAAAUUUAAUAAGAAAGCUAUAUAAUACAAUUCUCGGGGGAAAACAAGCAAGGUAGGUUUUUCACGGUAACCUCCAAGCAGAGAAAUGGUUUCAGUGCGCAGUCCAGUGAAUUUCCUCCAUAGAGUGUGCUGGAAGAAGUCACCUGGAAGUGAUCACCAGAGUGAUAUUCAGUUUGACUCUCAUUGGUUUGUAUAUAAUUGAUUAUAUAUAAAAACAAAUGCCAGGGUGAGGGUGGGACUAGAGUCCCCCUUUCAGGCUCCUCCCCUUGCAUUUCCAUCUGGUCUUGCAGCAAGUUAACCACGGUCCUAUCUUCAGGUUCAAUUACUCCCUUUAAAAAAUAGGUUUUAACACCUAUGUAUCUCUCAACAUUAUAUUGUUUUAUUUUGAAAAAUUGAAUAAUAACCACACACCUAGCUUUGGAAGCAAGAGGCUUCAUGGCCAGGAUCAGAUAAAUGAUCCUCUUAGAGUGGGUGGGACCUCAGCAUCCCAGAGCGUGUGGAAGAGUGCCUGCCAGGAAGCCACCAGACAAGGUCCUAAGUACAUGCAUGGAAACACUGGGCACGAUGCUGACUGUGGCAUGGGCCAAAAAGUGACAUGGGGCAGAACUUCAGUGGGAGGAGGGGUGCUCUGUACGUUCAGCUUCUAAGCCCACUGUGGCCUUCCUCUUAGGGUUUCACAGAGCCAAGCAGAAAAGGAGCACAGGUGACCUUGGCAGGAAGGCAUGCAUGGGAGAGCAGGUCUGCACUCUGGGACACCAGCCUCAACAGAAUACGAGUUUUGAAUUUUUGAAUUGCUGUUAAAACUUUCAUCAUGAACACUGAAGUGAGUGAAAAGAGACUUUUGCAGUCAUUUUUUUGCUGGCUGCAGAUGACAGUGACACCCUGGGAGUUGAGAAAUGCUUGUAAGAUGGAAGGAGGCUGUGUCCCUGAAUGAUCACCUGGAAGAGAGCCACCUUAGCCAAUGAAACUCCUGCUAUGAAUGUUUGCUGAGCAAGAAAUAUACUUACUGCUUUAUAUGCCUUUGAAGCUAUAGGUUCAUAUUGUUACCACAAUUUAAAGUGCUAUAAUAAAAAGAGUUCAGGAAGCAGGCACAUGGAAGCAAUAAGAGCAACAAACAUUUACACAGGACAGAGAUCAUGGAAGUUGGGCCCGACUGGAUGAGAUUUGGGGGUCUUUGGAAGUGGAGAAUGUGUUUGCCCUGGGGAAGAGAGGUGAUGUCUAGGAGACCUCUUCACUCAGGGCAAGCUCUAUGACCUGCUUUGACUCCAGAAUGUGGUAGAAGUGGCAUCACAUAAAUUGCAGAGCCUAGGCUUCAAGAGACCUUGCAACUUGCCUCUCACUGACUUGAAGUGCUCCCAUCAGAGCAUCUUGUAAGGAGCAGGUGGAGCAUGUGGACAAGCCAUCCCCACCAGCCCCUGAGACAUGUGAGAGAGGCCAGAACAGGCCAUCCGGACCCCACUGUGCUGGUGGAUGAGACAGCAGAAGGAAUAUCAACCUACCAACAGAAUCCUGAGAAAUGCUCACUCUUACUUCAAGCUGCUGCAUUUUGAUGUUAUGAAACCAUAAAUAACUUAUGAAGUCAUCUUUGCUGACUUAAAGUUUUCCAUAACUUUAUUAUAACAUAUCAAAAUUAUGAAAAAUGUGAAAAGUAGAAAACUGAUGAAUUUUGCUUCUUCAUAUGGUCUUUAAGAAUCUCAAAGGCACUGAAGUUUUUUAUCUUUUCUGUCUUAGAAUAAAAAACCUUGAAUGAAAAUCUGCUUCUUGGAAAAGCAGCAAGGUUUAUGCAGAGGCAAUCUGGUAUUUGUGUGCACUGGCAGCUGAUCAUACCCAGCAUGCACGCACUCUCAGGGCAGAGUCUGAUGCCCCACAUAAUGGGGCAUGGUAAGGACUCCCAUGUCCUUGAGAUAAAAUGAUAAGGAAAAUACACACUGCUAUUAGAAUAACAGGCCCAGCUUCUGCACAUUUUAAUUCCCAAAGUUUUCAUGAAAGACAAUGAUUUUUUGGUACCAUGUUUAACUCUACAAGAAUCAGUAGUGAAAACUAAAAAUGAUACUUUGUGAAAGUUCAUUAAUUUUGUUUUCAGCCAGUGGUGGCCUUGGUCAGAUAGAAUCAAAUCUAUGAUACUUUUUAUCAGAAAUGCUUAUACUGUGUACAAACCCAAAGUGAUGGCUUUCAAAGAUUGAAUUUGAUUAUUUUCUGUAUGGUGCAGAUGAAAAAUUACUACACAGGAGAAGGUGGGUUGGAGGUGCUCACGAGUAACCAGGAAACAGUCUGAAGUUUUUCUGAUACUUCUCCUUGGUCCAACCAAAUGUGAGAUAUAAACACAAACUUGGGAUUCCGUUCUUAUGUUUUGGUUGUUUCAGUCUUUACAGAUGUAUCGAAAGGCUGUCCAAAAAUGUCUGACUUCUGUAGUGUGCCUUCGUAGCACUAGAGGGUUCUGCAGCUGUGAAACUGAAGGCAUUGGCAAGAAGCCCUCCAUCUUCAAACCACUUUCUGCUAAGGUGUGGCUCUAUAAAACCACUAUGAGCUGGGCUUCACUGAGACUGAGUUGUUUCAGUAGGAUCUUCCGGAAAAACAUGUUCCCUCCUUUACCUGGGUUGUCAUUCUGAGAACAAUCACACCUCCAAUUUUGGCUUACUAAGCAAUAGCGUUUUAAUGAUUUUAAGCCAGGAUUUGCUCCUCCUUUCCUCAGUAUGAGAGCUUAACCACUGGAGGAACCAAGAAUUCAUGCUGGUUGGGUUCUGAUUCCACUUUAACUUACUGUAUAGCCUCAUCCCUUGUUUUUCUGGAGAUUCUCUUUUUCUGCUUCACUGAUUUAUAUUUACAUUAAAAUCAAAUGAGGCCAUGUUUCUGAAAUCACAUUGUCCCUACAUGGUCAUUACAAUGAGUCUGUAAUGUGACUGAAAGACAGCCAUGGAUACAGGUAGAGGAUAUCAGGCAAUUGAAUGCUCAUCAAGCAUUCAAUUCAGGGCAAAUGGCAUAAGGUAUGCAGUUGGCCUCUUCUGAUAUCUGUGUCUUAAUCCUUUCUUUAGCCUCUGUUUUCUGGACCAAGGCUAAGAUAUUUUCUGGGCACAGUGGCUCAUGCCUAUAAUCCCAGCACUCUGGGAGGCCAAGGUGGGAGGAUUUCUUCAGCCCAGGAGUUCGAGACCAGCCUGGGGAACAUAGGAGACCUCAUUCCUACAAAUAAUAAAAAAAAUUAGCCAGCUCUGGUGGCGUGUGCUUAUUGGUCUCAGCUACUUGGGAGGCUGAGGUGGGAGGACUGCUUGAGCCCAGAAGAUCGCAGCUGCAUUGAGCCAUGAUUGUGCCACUGAACCCUAGCCUGAGCAACAGAGCAAGGCCUUAUCUCAAAAAAAAAAAAAAAUUCUGAGCCUUCUAAUUUUUUUUUUCUUUAAUUAACUUUCUGUAAGCCCAGCAAGUAAAUAAAACACUUAUUUUAUGAAGCAUCUAGUUGCUUUUAGGGGAAGGGACAUCCUCCGCAUAGUAUCUAGGCCAGCUCACUUUCUUCUCCUUACUGUUGAUUUACUCUCUGCCAUUGAAUCUUCUGUGCCAAUGUUGGAUUAAUGUUUCCGGGCCCUACUUUCAUCAUGCUCCUCUGUAUUAUCACCUGUUUUGGUUUACAGCAAUGAUUUUUAAGGUAAGGCAUGGUGUGUCCAUCAUAGUCACAUGGGAACUUUUUCAAGCCAUAUUAAAAAUGUCCCCCAUUCAUCAUUCUGCCCCUGGAACAGUGUGUGCAGUUGGGACCUUCAAGUAAAUCUACUUUGUUGAAACCCACUGAUCAGCAUGGUGUAUUUCAUAACUCUUUGACUUACAUUCAAGAAAUUCCUUAACCUGAACUCCAUUUUACUCUUUUUUUCAUUCAUUCAAAUUAAGAAUAUUGCCUGAACAUGAAUUAUCUGCUAGACGUUUUUCUAGGUGCAGGAGGAGUAAGGAUGAACAUAACUAGCCAUAACUAUAGCUAUCAAUUGUGGAGUGUCUGUUAUGUGCCAGGCACUUUUAAGUGACCUACUCGAUUUACUUGCAUGACAAACUGUGAGGAAAAGCCCAAUAUUAUCCCCUAUUAACAGAUGAGGAAACUGAAGCACAAACAGCAUGAAUAGUUUGUUCCAGAUUGCAUCAUAAGAGGCACAGCCAGCUUUCCUACCAAAGCAGCCCUGGCCCAGAGUCCGUACUCCCUCCUCCCCUGCCUCUGCCUGGUGGAUAAGGUCACCCUGGCCUUGUGGAACUUAUGCUCUAGUGGGGACAAAUAGUUAUAGAGAAUGACCGAUGUUACUAAGAAAAUAAAAGCUGGUAAGAAAACAGAAGCACUGAGGAGGUGACUGAAGUGAGCAUUUAUAAUUUUAUGUUAUAUCCAUUGUAAAAUAUAAGUUUAGCUUUCUCAUACCAGAAGCAGGGCUCAGUCCACCCUUGACUCAGUUUCCAAUACUGUUCCCCAUCAGAAUGGCUCUUGCUGGUGGCCAGAAGUAAAACUUAGAAAUAUCUCUCUCAGAGACACCUAAGCAGGCUGGGCUCCCCGGUUUCCUGUUGCUUCCUUUAAAGAAGCUCUUCAGACAUCUGCACAAGAACUCAAAGUGACCACCUCUCAGCCCAGCAUGACCUACUGGAACUAAUGCCUGCUUGCUUUCAACCUACCAAUUAAAGCUCCCCAGGAAACCUGUUUAGAUAACACCCUGGACCCAAGAAAGGUGCUGGGCCAUGGGUUUCUUCUCUCUCUCCCUAUCUGUGCUCCCUGACCCCCUGUGUGUGUGUGGUCUCUAGGCUUGCCUUCUAUCCCUGAGGGUCUGUAAAUACUAAAAACACUUAAACUUUCAUAUUGUAGUUGUGUCUUUGAAGCCAGGUCCCCAUCCCGUACCUUGAGGGCAAGGCCUCCUGGAAGGGACCCAUGUAGGUGGAUCCCCUGCUGUCCAGGCCUCUUAGCUGCUGGGGUAGUGACCAGUUAAGUGGAUAGAGUUUCAUUCAAAACAAUAAUCAUUCAACUGUAUCUCACAUCAAACCUCUGCUCUAGUUUAUGUAUCUACUUUAUGUUCUUAGAAGACUGUGCAAACACAUUGUCUUUUUUGAGUACCUGUCUUGUCCUAGGUACUCUGCUUGGUACGGGGAGAGACGAAUCUUCUGUCUUCAGGGGCUUCCACUCCAGCAGGGAGAACAUGACUAAUAGUGACUGCCUGCUGCUGUAGGUAAUAAGUGGCUCCCACUAGGCCCUCCAUUUGGUGGCCCCCUGUCCCUCUCACUGGUGGAAGCCUACCUGUCCUCUAAGGACCAGCUCACUAAUGUCCUAGAUCCUCACGGACCAGAUUGCUUUUCUCAGAACUGAAGAGCACUUACUAAUGGCACCUCUUGUCAUAUGCCAUCCCAGGAUUUGAAUUUUUUUUUUUUUUCUGUCUUGUGGCCCAAAUAAAUCCUGAACUCCUCGAGGGCUGGGAGUGUAUCUAGCAGUUUCCUUAUACUGGACUAAUCAGAUGCUGACUAGGUAGCAGUGAGAAAAAUCUAGAAAUUCCCUUUUAGCCACAUCGACUUACACGAGGGGAUGUGUGUAAGGUACUAUAGCUCUUUAAACAAGAGGUGGUCUCGUUUGAAGGGUGGAUUGAUGUGGGUGUUCAAAUGAUGUCACAAGUGGCUGGUUUCUCUGUCUCCAUUUCUUUUUUUUUUGGCUCCAUUUCCAAAUUUCCCAGAUAGCACAGCAAGUUGGCCCCAGCAGCUCUAGACACUCCAUCUUCUCAGGGCAUAGCCAACACAAUAAAAUAUUUCAAGUUCCUGAAAGAUAGCUGAAAUAAGCCCUAGAAGUUUCUGGAUUGGGAGCAGAGCCAAACCUGCCAGCUCACAUAGAUGAGGGCAGGGAAUAGGGUGUCUCACGAUCACAGUGUCCUGCCUUCUGAUUUGCCUGGGACUGUCCUGUUUUGGCACCAAAAAUAUCUGCAUCCUAGGAAACCCUCAGGUCCUGGGCAAAUUCAGACAGUGACUUGCCCUAUCAGAAGCAAAGCAAGGUGCCAUUACCUGAGGUGGGCAAAUUCAGACAGUGACUUGCCCUAUCAGAAGCAAAGCAAGGUUGCCAUUACCUGAGGUGGGCAAAUGGAGGCUGGGUGGCCAGUGAGUGACCAAUAACCCCAGCAUUGGAGAGAGUGGAGCAGCCCUUCAAGAAGUUCCAACCUCUGCCCAGGACUGGUUUUACCAACUUCACUAGGCUUAGAAUCGUAGGAAGUCUAUUUGGGACUUGCGAGUCUCACGUAUUCCUGCCUAAAUGUUUAUGGAUACCUGUUUAGAGCUGAAAUCUUUUCAGCUCCCAUAAUAUGAGGGAAUUAGGUCUCAAAGAAGAUCAUGUAUUUUGAUCAGACCUUAUAGCUGAGCAGUGGAAAGAAAAAAAAUCAGUGUGAGAUCUCCCAGGGUUCCGCAGGAGUGGCUUCCUUAGUCCAACUGGCAGCCUAUCCUGGAAUAUUGCCUGGGAGAGAGGUUAGUUGCUUUUCCUGGUGCUAGGAACUGAAUGGUUUUACAUAUUGAUCAAUGAAAAUACUUAUUUGGCCUACAAUAGGUGCAAAAAUACUGCUAAUUACUAACAGUAUCUCUUCUUUGCUGCGUGCCAGACACUCCACUGGGCAUUAUGCAGUUAAUAUGUACCAUGAAUUUCCCGUGGUUAGCAAUGAUGUCAGGCAUAGAAAAGACAUGAAAUUAUGAUGUCAAAUGAAUAAACUGGAAAAAGGAAUUUCUUGAAUUUUCUCCAGCUGUCCUAAGAAUGUAUCUAUACUUUGAUCCUGGCCUACCUUUUCAACAUCUAAACUUUAUUCCCCCAAGCUUCUAGAUAUUCAAAGUUAAGUAUUAAAUAAAAUCAGUAAAUAUAUACAAGCUUGUUUGGCCAUUCUGAAUAAGGUUAUAUUUCCACCACACAAUCUCCAAAUUCUCUAGCAGAAGGGAUCAGUAUGUUAUAGAUACCCCCUUUCCUUCCCUCCCUGGCAAGCCACCACAUCUGUUAUGGGUACUCAAUGCAGUGGCUGCACCUGGGCCUCACUCAUUAAGCAGUUGUUGAUUGAGUGACUGAAUUGAAUGCCUGAUGAGCUCGCAAGUAAGAUUCAGACUGUGCCUGCAAACUAAUAGGAUCCCUCCGCUUUUUAUUCACUACUGCUGAGGUAGAUCUCAGGCCAGCCUGAAGUUUAGGUCUACUGAGAAAUAAUAAGCCUCAAAAAUCGAGCUUUGCUUCACCCAGUCUCCCAGUAAACACUAAGAAAUGUUCACAUUAUUUACACAUCCUAGACUGCCUGUCUUAUGGACCAAAUGUUUGUGUUCUCCCCGCAAUUUAUACAUUGGAAUCCUAACCCUCAAUGUAAUAGCAUUAGGUGCUGGGGUCUUUGGGAGGUGAUUGGCUAAUGGACCUGGAGCCCUCAUGAUGGGAUGAGUCCCCUUAUCAGAAGAGACCUGAGAAGGCUUGCUUCCUCUCCCUGUGCUCUUCAUGAUGUGAAGACACAAGAAGACAGCCAUCUGUGGGCCAGGAAGAGGUCCUCACUGGAACCCAACCAUGCUGGCACCCCAAUCUUGAAUUUCUAGCUUCAAGAACUUGGGAAAUAAAUGUAAGCCAGCCAGCUUAUGGAUUUGUUACAGCAGCCUAAGCUAAGUCAGAGUCUCUAGAACAGCUGGUCUGGGGCAGCGGUGAAGGGAGGUGGGUGGGCAUAUGACCCUGCCCUGCACAUGAAUGGCAAAGGCAACUGGAGAGCCUCUCCCUUUUGGUGAGAUCCCCAGUCCACAAGGGCAUGUUCAUCCAUAGCUUUACUUCCCGAAGCAAAUUCUGGUUCCUGGGGCCUGUGCCUCCAUAGAUGGCAUGAUCUGCAGCCUCCUGUGGUAAUUUACCCUCUUCCUAAAUUUCUGAGUCUUCACAUUUAAGCAAUCCUAGUUAGAUAUCCUCUACCUGUAUCCAUGGCUGUCUUUCAGUCACAUUACAGACUCAUUGUGAUGACCAUGUAGGGACAAUGUGAUUUCAGAAACAUGGCCUCAUUUGAUUUUAAUGUAAAUAUAAAUCAGUGAAGCAGAAAAAGAGAAUCUCCAGAAAAACAAGGGAUGAGGCUGUACAGCAAGUUAAAGUGGAAUCAGAACCCAACUGUAGUCCAUUAUUUGUUUCAAUCCUGCUCUUUUCUACCAUAUCACCCAGUUUCCAAAUCGUUCAGCAAAUUGCCAUGGUCAAUGGGAUUAACCUUUCCCUUUUAUUCUCAGGAAAUCUCCCUUGUCCAUUUUGCAAGACUGUGUGAUUCUUUCUACUGUUACAAGGAAUAAAAGCCUUCCUAAAAAGGUCUUUGGUGCCUUUAUUAUUUUACGGAUCAUUUCUGAGGGAAUUAUUGAACUUCAUUAUGUAACCACCCCUUGGGUUCACCUUGCCCACUGCCUAGACAGAGCCAAUUUAUCCAGACAGGAGAAUUGCAAUGGAGAAAGAGUAAUUC